GACGAACGCUGGCGGCGUGCUUAACACAUGCAAGUCGAACGGGAAGGCCCUUUCGGGGGUACACGAGUGGCGAACGGGUGAGUAACACGUGGGUGAUCUGCCCUGCACUUUGGGAUAAGCCUGGGAAACUGGGUCUAAUACCGGAUAGGACUACGCGAUGCAUGUCGUGUGGUGGAAAGCUUUUGCGGUGUGGGAUGGGCCCGCGGCCUAUCAGCUUGUUGGUGGGGUGAUGGCCUACCAAGGCGACGACGGGUAGCCGGCCUGAGAGGGUGUCCGGCCACACUGGGACUGAGAUACGGCCCAGACUCCUACGGGAGGCAGCAGUGGGGAAUAUUGCACAAUGGGCGCAAGCCUGAUGCAGCGACGCCGCGUGGGGGAUGACGGCCUUCGGGUUGUAAACCCCUUUCAGCACAGACGAAGCGUAAGUGACGGUAUGUGCAGAAGAAGCACCGGCCAACUACGUG
rnacentral:rRNA from 1 species